AGUUCAUAUCGACGGCGGUGUUUGGCACCUCGAUGUCGGCUCAUCUCAUCCUGGGGCUGAAGCAGGUCCCAAGGGUAUGGCUGUUCGCCAUUUAAAGAGGUACGCGAGCUGGGUUUAGAACGUCGUGAGACAGUUCGGUCCCUAUCUACCGUGGGCGCUGGAAAUUUGAGAGGAUCUGCUCCUAGUACGAGAGGACCAGAGUGGACGAACCUCUGGUGUACCGGUUGUGACG
rnacentral:rRNA from 1 species